rnacentral:rRNA from 2 species
CAAGUCGAACGCGUUGGCCCAAUUGAUUGAUGGUGCUUGCACCUGAUUGAUUUUGGUCGCCAACGAGUGGCGGACGGGUGAGUAACACGUAGGUAACCUGCCCAGAAGCGGGGGACAACAUUUGGAAACAGAUGCUAAUACCGCAUAACAACGUUGUUCGCAUGAACAACGCUUAAAAGAUGGCUUCUCGCUAUCACUUCUGGAUGGACCUGCGGUGCAUUAGCUUGUUGGUGGGGUAAUGGCCUACCAAGGCGAUGAUGCAUAGCCGAGUUGAGAGACUGAUCGGCCACAAUGGGACUGAGACACGGCCCAUACUCCUACGGGAGGCAGCAGUAGGGAAUCUUCCACAAUGGGCGCAAGCCUGAUGGAGCAACACCGCGUGAGUGAAGAAGGGUUUCGGCUCGUAAAGCUCUGUUGUUAAAGAAGAACACGUAUGAGAGUAACUGUUCAUACGUUGACGGUAUUUAACCAGAAAGUCACGGCUAACUACGUGCCAGCAGCCGCGGUAAUACGUAGGUGGCAAGCGUUAUCCGGAUUUAUUGGGCGUAAAGAGAGUGCAGGCGGUUUUCUAAGUCUGAUGUGAAAGCCUUCGGCUUAAC